rnacentral:rRNA from 1 species
GAUGAACGCUAGCGGCAGGCUUAAUACAUGCAAGUUGAGGGGCAGCAUGAUAUACGCGAGUAUAUUGAUGGCGACCGGCGGACGGGUGAGUAAUAGGUAGGAGACCUACCUCAUACAGGGGGAUAGCAUAGAGAAAUCUGUGGUAAUACCCCAUGAGGUUAUAUGAAUAGAGGCAUAUAAUCAAAGCAUAAGUGAUUAUGCGGUAUGAGAGGGGCCUACUGACCAUUAGCUAGUUGGUGAGGUAAGGGCUCACCAAGGCGAAGAUGGUUAGGGGUUUGAGAGAGAGACCCCCACAUUGGAACUGAGAGACGGUCCAGACUCCUACGGGAGGCAGCAGUAGGGAAUAUUGGGCAAUGGGCGAAAAGCCUGACCCAGCCAUGCCGGUAGAAGGAAGACGGCCUUAGUGGGUUAGUAAAACUUUCUUUACUACGACGUAAAUAAGGUAGGUUAAGUAACGAAGAAUAACUAAAGUAAGGGAAAGGUUAGUAGUAAAGUAAAAAAGACGACCGGACUAAACUCCGU